AACCUAGCACACCUGCGGUGUGUACCUGCGGAAGGAUCAUUACCGAGUUUACAACUCCCAAACCCCUGUGAACAUACCUAUAAUUUGCCUCGGCGGACUCAACGACGGUGCUCCGAGAAAUCGGGCGCCGCUCGCUGCCAGAGGAACCCCAAACUCUAUGUAUUCUUGUGGAUCUUCUGAGUAAAACAAAACAAAUAAAUCAAAACUUUUAGCAACGGAUCUCAGAUCGGAAGAGCACAC
rnacentral:misc_RNA from 1 species